UUUCUUUUUUCUUCUGUAUCGAAUUUAAUAUUGUAUCCCAAGGAUCUAGAAAUGUUUUCAGCACAUUGUAAACACUCAAUAAAUACUUGUGGGAUGAAUGAACGAAUGAAUGAGUCUGGGGCAUCUCUGCAGGCCAAGCAAUCUUUAAUUCGGACGGAGUAGCGCUGCCAUCUGGUGUCCGAAACUUGAAAUUGCAAGUACAAAUUCCAGGGUGCGAAGAAGACUCCAGGGGACCAACCAGUCUUGUGAGUUGAAUCCUGUUCAAUGUUUCAAAUGCCACCACCUGACUUCAAACAUCUCAAAGACCCACACACUGUGACUUUUUGUCUUGUUUUGUUUUUGCCUGUUUUGUGCCCCUAUUCGGAAGACCUGGUCAACCCCACCAAGAGUUUGCUCCGAUGUUUCUAAAAUCAAUUGUGCACGGAAAUACUUCCUUCCUGGAAGAAGGAGUCAUGAGAAGAGUUCAGUGCUGAGCGAGAAUGAAAGUGGGAGGCAGGACCAUGUGUUAUGAGGGACCAGUGAAAAAGCCUGAGGGGAGGGAGGGACAGAGGCAAAAAGCCUUUGAGACCAGACCUAGUUUCAACUUGACUGUGAGUCUACUUCAAGCCUUUGAGACCAGACCUAGUUCCAACUUGACUAAACAAUAGACAAUGUCACAAUGUUGAAUGCGGGUGGAUGCUACAUUACAGUUCAGUCACCAAGAGUCAAGAGACCUCUAGGGGGACCUGAGUCCCAUUCCCAACAGAGGAUCACAACGCUUGGUUAACUCCAGCUCCAGGACAUCUGAUACCUUCUUCUGGCUUCCUCUGGAUCCUGAACAUGCAAGGCAAAUAUCCACAUGAAAUUCA